UACGAAGGGGGCUAGCGUUGUUCGGAAUUACUGGGCGUAAAGCGCACGUAGGCGGAUUUUUAAGUCAGGGGUGAAAUCCCGGGGCUCAACCUCGGAACUGCCUUUGAUACUGCAAGUCUCGAGUCCGAUAGAGGUGAGUGGAAUUCCUAGUGUAGAGGUGAAAUUCGUAGAUAUUAGGAAGAACACCAGUGGCGAAGGCGGCUCACUGGAUCGGUACUGACGCUGAGGUGCGAAAGCGUGGGGAGCAAACAGG
rnacentral:rRNA from 1 species